rnacentral:lncRNA from 1 species
UUGUCACACUUUAUACUCAAUACCAUUGUGUAUUAAGUAUAAAAUAAAAUAUUUAAACACCGAGUUUGACUCAUGUCAAAUUUCUAACAUUAUUAUUUUUUUUUUAUUUGAUUCAAAUUCAUAUUAUGGGUCUUGUGAAAAAUUUCGAACUCAGACAUGAGAGACAAUGUAACAUAUAAAAUAUUUAAAUAACAUUCUCUACUAGCUUAAGUUUCUAGAGAAUAAUGUUAUUUUAUAUUAUUUAACAUUGUGUUUCUUAAUUUUUUUAAAAAAA